rnacentral:rRNA from 1 species
CGCGGCCUAUCAGCUUGUUGGUGGGGUAGUGGCCUACCAAGGCGACGACGGGUAGCCGGCCUGAGAGGGCGACCGGCCACACUGGGACUGAGACACGGCCCAGACUCCUACGGGAGGCAGCAGUGGGGAAUAUUGCGCAAUGGGCGAAAGCCUGACGCAGCGACGCCGCGUGAGGGAUGACGGCCUUCGGGUUGUAAACCUCUUUCAGCAGGGACGAAGCGCAAGUGACGGUACCUGCAGAAGAAGCACCGGCUAACUACGUGCCAGCAGCCGCGGUAAUACGUAGGGUGCGAGCGUUGUCCGGAAUUAUUGGGCGUAAAGAGCUCGUAGGUGGUUUGUCGCGUUGUUCGUGAAAACUCACAGCUCAACUGUGGGCGUGCGGGCGAUACGGGCAGACUGGAGUACUGCAGGGGAGACUGGAAUUCCUGGUGUAGCGGUGGAAUGCGCAGAUAUCAGGAGGAACACCGGUGGCGAAGGCGGGUCUCUGGGCAGUAACUGACGCUGAGGAGCGAAAGCGUGGGGAGCGAACAGGAUUAGAUACCCUGGUAGUCCACGCCGUAAACGGUGGGUACUAGGUGUGGGUUUCCUUCCUUGGGAUCCGUGCCGUAGCUAACGCAUUAAGUACCCCGCC